CCUUGAAUUGUUGGAAUGAACAUAAGCCCAUGGAGAAAAAUUGAACUAGAGAGGGGUGAUCUGGCCUGGACAGGGAUGUGAUUAGCAAGUUUGGGCCUUAGGCCCAAACAGAAUCCAACGUACAAGCUGCAAGAAGCUAGACGGAAUGGCCAAAAGCGCUUAUGCUCAAAGGUCAACACAAUUCGCUUAAGCUAUAAACCGCAAAGGUUCAAAAUCGCUUUCUUCACCAUGAUCUAUGCUCGCAUCUUGCCGACGUCCUCAUCGUGAAUUACCGGCGUCAUCAUCGCGUCUCAAGGAUUGUGUUCGCCUAGUUCUUCAUGGAGUUCGUAUUUUGGAUUCGGUCCUACAGAGUCUGUCCUCUUCGUACGCUCCUCGCAUUCAGGAAUUCAAAGGAUUAUCUGAUUCAGCGGCGUCGUGCUCCCGAUGAAUAGGUCGAAGAUUCGGUUCGAGUGGUUCAAGUUUAACUAAAAUCGAAUUGAAGCAAGAAUGGAGGCUUACCAUUUUUGACGCGGUGGCGCAAACAGAGUUAUUCUUCAAAUCUUGAUGAUAAACCGUAUGCAAGGUUGUACGAUUCAGAUUCGCAACCUUGCUUACGACCCGGUAAAUACUGAUUAUUAAUUCACCUUCUCACUCUCCCUCUGAAAAUUUGAGAUUUGAUAUGUGACUUGCAGAGAUCGCUUUGCUUUUGACGCUUCUAGCUGCGAGCUCGAGAUGAUGAUGAUUGUUGCAGACCAAUGAUGAUUGAGAUUGGAGAGCGGAACAGAAUGAUUGAAGAAGGAGAAGAAGAGUGAAGAAGAGGAUUGAGAAAAUGGAGAAAAAGAAGAUUGAAGAAGUCAGUUCUGUUAGAGAUUCACAUGAAAUUCAGUCUGAAAUUCAUUCUAAAUUCAGUUGGGAUAACAAAAACAGUUAGGGAUUAGUGGAGUUUGUUAUUAGUUAGAUGGGAAUCGAAGUGAAAAUGAAAAUGCUAAAUGAAAAUGAAACUUGAAAUUCGGUUUAAUUUCUGUUUGAGUUUGGUAAUUCUGUUAGGCCUUUCGCAGUUGGUUGAAGUUAGAUUUUCAGUUGAAAAUUCUGUUAAAAGAAAAGGUUAAGUGUUAUUACUGUUGAAAUACCAAUUCUGUUAUUAUGUUGA